CCUUUGAUAGCUCAGUUGGUAGCUCGGAAAACUGUAGGUGCUUAUAGUGGUCAUUCUCAGGUUGCUGGUUCGACUCCUGCUCGUAGGC